GCAGGGUAGCUACGUUCGGAAGGGAUAAGCGCUGAAAGCAUCUAAGCACGAAGCCCAUUGCAAGACUAGAUUUCCCCUACGGGUCGUUCGAGAUUAGGACGUUGAUAGGCGAUAAGUAUAAGCGUAGCAAUACGUUCAGCUGAGUCGUACUAAUUACCCGUGAGGCUUAAACUC
rnacentral:rRNA from 1 species